AGUGAAAUUGCUGGGUCAUAUGAUCUGUUUUUAAUUUUUUGAGGAACCUCCUUACUGUUUUCCAUAGUGGCUGCAUCAGUUUACAUUCCCAGCAGCAAU
rnacentral:pre_miRNA from 1 species